AUUUUUAUAGUUGAAUUACAACGGUGGUUUUUCAUAUCAUUAGUUUUGGUUAAAGUCCAAAUGAGAAUU
rnacentral:tRNA from 1 species